CAGACCCAUGAAAUGAUGUACAACUGUUGUGAUCUGUGAAUACUUGUUGAAUCACUCUGAUUGCCUGUUUUAAAGAGAAGGCCCUUUGCAACAGAGAGUGGAACUUUCGCCAACCCAUAAUCUGGAGGCUUUGAGGUCAUUUGAAGGACACAUCAUUUCCCACAACCCAUGAAAUGAUGUACAACUGUUGUGAUCUGUGAAUACUUGUUGAAUCACUCUGAUUGCCUGUUUGAAAGAGAAGGCCCUUUGCAACAGAGAGUGGAACUUUCGCCAACCCACAAUCUGGAGGCUUUGAGGUCAUUUGAAGGACACAUCAUUUCCCGCA